UACAGUGUACAUGUACAUGUAUGUGUAUUGUGUUACAUGGGCGUAUUCUUGGAGCGGUACAUUUAUCUUGAAUGUGAGAGGGCAACGACGUCACGAUAAUUUACGAUGGAUAUAGUGCUGUGGAAGACUCUAACCUAUGUUUUCAUCAGAGGAAUGGAGUCGACAGCAAGUGCAACCCCAAUGACUACAAGUGUGGAUAGGAGCAGAGAUGUCCCAAGGGCUUUCCUCAUUGUCCUUCUCAUACUCACUGUGGUACAAACUCAAGCAGAGAAACAGUGUGGAAAGCCAACACCACCUCAGUGUAAAGAUGACUGCACCAACAAGAUAUGGUUUCAUGUCACCAACUCCACUACUGGUAUUGGCACUUGCCAGCAAUGCCUAGACUGUCCACCAGGCUAUCAGCUUGACCGUGCAUGUGGUGGUGAGGAAGGAUUGGAGGCUAUCUGCGUACCAGUCUGCUUUCCAGGGGAAUUCUUUGACAUGGACCAGUCUCGCUGCAUCCCCUGCCGACAUUGUGAUAAUACCAUCGGAGAUAUCGCAUGCAGUGCUACGAGUGAUGGCAAAUGUGGUCCCUGCAGACAAGGGUACUUUCAUGAGCAAGGUAAACCAGAUCUCUGCCACCACUGCUCAUUGCUGACAGAGACGGAACAGGACUCAAAACCGCAGUGCCAAACCUCCAGAAUCUCAACAGAGCCACCUUUAACUGUAACUACCUCAGAAAGCCCAUCUGCACGUCAUGAGGACACCCCAGCAAUGGUUAGGACUACUGCUGUGUCAACAACAACUCCUGACAGCCAUGGGACAGGACAUAUGAUGGCAUCAUCCAACAGAGCGGGUCAAACAUCACUGCCAGAUAGCACUACCAGCAGCAACAUCGAGUUGCCUAAUGAUAACAUCUUUCAAAAUGAACCUUCUGCCGAGGAGACAGAUGGCAAAGAAGCUAGUCAGGAUGGUCCGUUUUCACCACAGUCAUCAAGUGUUCUGGUUGUCUGUCUCCUGACUCUCUUCCUGCUUGUUCUCCUGAUCGGGGGAUUUGGUUGGGUCACCGUUAAACGUUCACGUAGAGUGGCACAGAGACAACAAGAGCAGCGACGAUCAUUCAGACAAUUUGUGCAAAGGAACUGGAUAGAUGAUGGCAGCCAGCAUGACCCAGACAGUGAGGAUGAAAAAGUUUUCGUGGAUUGUGAGAACGGGACCGCGCAAUAUUGGGAUCUGGCUCCUAGGUGUCCAGUGAGUUCAAGUCUGCUGAAUGGUGGACUAGAAGCUUCUAGCUUUUCCUCUGUUUCUUCUGUGUUUGCAGCUCAGAGGAACAACUCUGAUCUAACAGACCAGACAUCUGGUCGUUCACUGAAUUAUUCACUGUUGGAGGAACAGAUCCAAACAAUGUACCGUCUUGAGUCUUGCGAUUGGAAAUGUCACGAUGAAGAUGACAUGGUUUACAUUAAACCUAUACAAGACACGGAGAAAUCCAUGCCACUUAGAUCUUAUGAAAGGCCUCUGAAAGUUUUGAAUCAUGAAGAGAAUGGUGCUUCAGAGGCUACCCAUCUUCUGGCAGGUGAUAGUGACGGGGUAACAGACCCAAACGCCCCAGCAAGUCUACAAUCCUUUGAUGGAACUCAUUCUCUCUUGAGUAUCACAAAGAGAUCCAAAGAUCAGAAAGGCAAAAAGUCAAGAGGUUUACAGGCAAAAGAAGGGUCUGCUGGAGGCCGCUUAUCUAAGGCUUUUGUCAAUGCUGGUGUUCAGUGCCAUGAUACAGCAUUCAAAGCUGGGAAAGAUGAGGUCUGCAACGGGAAUAGUGAAAGAAAUGAUGAAGAAGAUGGAAUGACUGCAGUCCAAGAAGCUGGAGAUGGCGUAAGUCAAGCAGUCCAGACUGGACAACAGCAGGUUAAAAUUUCAACAGCAGAUUUCAAGACAAAUGGAAAUGGCACAAGAAUGGCAGCAGAACAAGAGGCCACAGUCUGCAAAGUCCAAGCCGUCCAGACUGACUUUCAGCAGGCGUCUGCAGCAAUUGCCAAGAGAAGCGAAGAUGCAGCAGAACAAGAGGCCACAGUCUGCAAAGUCCAAGCCGUCCAGACUGACUUUCAGCAGGCGUCUGCAGCAAUUGCUGAGAGAAGCAAAGAUGCUACAGGAAUGGCAACAGAACUAGAAGCUACAGUCUGCAAGCCACAAGAAGUCCAGACUGACCUCCAGCAAGCUGUAGAUGGGAAGAGAAAUGGCGAAAAACAUCAAAGCAAAGAAGCUACACCUAGGACCAGUGUGACUGCUGCUGUCGUUGGACUAGAGCAAGAGGCCACAAUCUGCAAACCAGAAGCGACCCAGACAGAGGCACAUGAAGGUGUUUCCGACAUCACUGCUUCAGGAGCAGGGCAAGUCAAGGAAGAUUCCAACGGAUUUGGAAAUCCAGUCGAGCCAGAAGCCACUGCAUUCAAAGGACUAGAGACCCAAGCAGAACCUGAUGGAAGCAUUCCCCCACCUGUAUCUACUACAAUCUCAAGCACUGAUGACAAAGCUAGAAGUGCAGGCUCUCCCCAUACAAAACAAAAGCCAUCUAAGAAGGGGAAAUUUAUCAAACCUGCACCUCCUUCCAUCAAUGUAAACUGUGAAGGGAGUAAAAACCAAAUAAGUGUAAACUACAGUGUCCAUUACCAUCAGAAUGACAGCUACAGCCCCAGUGAGACAGAGACUGACAGUGAGUAGAAUAUUUAGCUUGUCUGCCCCUUCGCUGUGAACCAUCGGGGACCAGACCUUGCGGAGUUUGACCAGGAGGUAUCAAGACUUUUGCCACAAGAGUCAGACCAUGGUGCCUGAUAAGUACAUGAAUCAGAGUGCCGCUUCUCUAACUGGAGUGGACUGCAAAUUUGCAUUUGUACGGAGCUCUGGUAGUGUCAUCUUACUUGCUUUUAUCUCGGGAUGACAACAUAUUACAGGCAGUAUGGCGACAUCAUGAGAUGUUUAUCGCAGGAUGACUUCUUCGAUUGGAGAUCAACAUCCUGAGAUUACCAUGAAGCUUCAAACCAUAUUCAUCUGUGUAUGAGACUGCUGUCUUGUAUUUUAGAUAUUCGGAAGUGAUGGGUCCAUUUUGGCAGGAUAUUUCUCUGUUAGGUGUUAAAAAAUCAAAAUCUCACGAGUUUAUCCGUGUGUUCCACUAAGACCCUGACGAGGAGGUGUUGUGUGAUACUGUUCUAGUUCUGAGAACAGUGUUCUUGAGUCGUGUUGCCGCUGUUCUAGCGCGAGAACAAGAACAGGCCGCUCGAACUCAGCCAGCUUCGUUUCCAUGAUGUACUCAGAGUACUAGUACUUCGCCUCCACGGCCUGUUCAACAAAGUGAAGAGUAACCUGAAGGGACGAGGUUGCCGGUUCCGGUAUCCUACAAAUAAAAUUACGCGACAGGGGAAAGUCCCGUCGUGGCAUAUACGCACCUACGUAUGUAUCUGGUUAUCGUGCUUAGUUUCGACUUUGUUGUUCAGUUGAGACGUUCCCAAGAGCAAGAAAGAUGGAUACGAUGAAAUCACUCCUGCUGUUGUGUGUGUUGUUGCUGACCUAUCCAAAGAUGGCUGGAGGUGGUCCAUUUUGCUAUUACUCUUGUUUGGGCAUUAUUGUUGUCGGGACUCCGGUAAUUGGCCGUGCUGUUGUCCAGUUGCUGGGCUUCACAUCAUCUGGAAUUGCAGCAGGAUCUUUGGCAGCUUGGAUAAUGUCCCAGUAUGGUGGUGCGGUGCCUGCAGGCGGCUGGUUUGCAAAUUUACAGUCAAUUGGAGCAACUGAAAGGACCAUAAAAUUUGCUUUGAGCUCAGUAUCAGACUGGUGUCAUGCUAUCUGUGUCCCUUUUCCAUAGAUUUGCUAGUGAUGUCAAUUUGAAGAUCACAAGGCACAGUCCCCAUUAGUUAGUGUUACUACACCAGAGGGAAGCAUUGUUCAAAAAUACACAUCAAUUGAAGAUAAGUGUGGCAGAGCCAGAAAUGUUUAUGUUAUUAAGUACACGUUUUUACAUAGAAGUAGUUCCCCUUUAAAAAUGUUUAACUUUAGUUUAGAGUUCUUGAUUUUUUUCUAGUAGUGUGCCCCCUGUUCAUUUGUCUAAGCCCUAGCUUCCCCCAUAUAGAGUUACCACAUGGUCUGGUCACACUCAGUGUAGCAGAUCAGCAGAGACCAGUCACCUUCACAUGUACCUAUGUAUUGU
rnacentral:misc_RNA from 1 species